rnacentral:rRNA from 1 species
CAAUCCCUGAGUAAAGUGGCGACCGGGUGAGUAACACGUGACUAACCUACCUUCGAAUGGGGGAUAACUCCGGGAAACCGGGGCUAAUACCGCAUAACAUCCUCGGAUCGGAAGAACUGGGGAUCAAAGGAGCAAUUCGUNNGAAGAGGGAGUCGCGGCUGAUUAGCUUGUUGGCGGGGUAAUGGCCCACCAAGGCGAUGAUCGGUAUCCGGCCUGAGAGGGCGCACGGACACACUGGAACUGAAACACGGUCCAGACUCCUACGGGAGGCAGCAGUGGGGAAUUUUGCGCAAUGGGGGAAACCCUGACGCAGCAACGCCGCGUGGAGGAUGAAGUCCCUUGGGACGUAAACUCCUUUCGACCGGGACGAUUAUGACGGUACCGGUGGAAGAAGCCCCGGCUAACUUCGUGCCAGCAGCCGCGGUAAUACGAGGGGGGCAA